UACAGAGGUCCCAAGCGUUGUUCGGAUUCACUGGGCGUAAAGGGUGCGUAGGCGGUCGGGUAAGUCUGACGUGAAAUCUUCAAGCUUAACUUGGAAACUGCGUCGGAUACUAUUCGGCUAGAGGAAUGGAGGGGAGACUGGAAUACUUGGUGUAGCAGUGAAAUGCGUAGAUAUCAAGUGGAACACCAGUGGCGAAGGCGAGUCUCUGGACAUUUCCUGACGCUGAGGCACGGAAGCCAGGGGAGCAAACGGG
rnacentral:rRNA from 1 species